rnacentral:rRNA from 1 species
UACAGGGGGGGCAAGCGUUGUUCGGAAUUACUGGGCGUAAAGGGCUCGUAGGCGGCCAACUAAGUCAGACGUGAAAUCCCCAGGCUCAACUUGGGAACUGCGUCUGAUACUGGAUGGCUUGAAUUCGGGAGAGGGAUGCAGAAUUCCAGGUGUAGCGGUGAAAUGCGUAGAUAUCUGGAGGAAUACCGGUGGCGAAGGCGGCAUCCUGGACCGAGAUUGACACUGAUGAGCGAAAGCUAGGGGAGCAAACGGG